rnacentral:rRNA from 1 species
GUCCACGCCCUAAACGAUGCGAACUGGAUGUUGGGCUCAACUUGGAGCUCAGUAUCGAAGCUAACGCGUUAAGUUCGCCGCCUGGGGAGUACGGUCGCAAGACUGAAACUCAAAAGGAAUUGACGGGGGCCCGCACAAGCGGUGGAGUAUGUGGUUUAAUUCGAUGCAACGCGAAGAACCUUACCUGGCCUUGACAUCCACGGAACUUACCAGAGAUGGUUUGGUGCCUUCGGGAACCGUGAGACAGGUGCUGCAUGGCUGUCGU